GUGAAUCAUCAAAUUUUUGAACGCAAAUUGCACUCUCUUCGGAGAGUAUGCCUGUUUGAGGUCCAGCCUAAAAAAAAUCGACAUCGUUGCUGUUUCUCUGGGGCGUUCGUCGGAAAUUGAGUUAUCUUAAAUCUUUGGUUUAAUCGACUUAAAAUUUUCUUUACGAUUCCAUGAUCGUUUCCAAGAUUGAGUUCUGUACACGUUUAAGGUAUCGAUUUUAUUAGGCGUGGUCGUCAUAUCGGAUCGGGUCCAUAGUUUUACGUUAACUGACCUCAGACAGGUAAGAGUACCCU
rnacentral:misc_RNA from 1 species